UGGGGAAUAUUGCACAAUGGGGGAAACCCUGAUGCAGCGACGCCGCGUGAACGAAGAAGGUAUUCGUAUCGUAAAGUUCUGUCCUAUGGGAAGAUAAUGACAGUACCAUAGAAGAAAGCUCCGGCUAAUUACGUGCCAGCAGCCGCGGUAAUACGUAUGGAGCGAGCGUUGUCCGGAAUUAUUGGGCGUAAAGGGUACGCAGGCGGUUUAAUAAGUCGAAUGUUAAAGAUCGGGGCUCAACCCCGUAAAGCAUUGGAAACUGAUAAACUUGAGUAGUGGAGAGGAAAGUGGAAUUCCUAGUGUAGUGGUGAAAUACGUAGAUAUUAGGAGGAAUACCAGUAGCGAAGGCGACUUUCUGGACACAAACUGACGCUGAGGUACGAAAGCGUGGGGAGCAAACAGG
rnacentral:rRNA from 1 species